CAAGAAUCAAAAUAACGCUAUAAAUAUCUUGCUUCAAUGACCGUUGAAGAGAUUUUGCAUAAGAAGAUCAAGCUCCUGAUAUGGAAUUCAAUUGUGGCACGGAUAAUAGAAUGCAAUGAAUUUCAAAUAUCUAUGAAACAGAGUAUGCUUACAUGAGAGUAUUAACCCAGCAAGCACAACACGAGAGUAGGAGUCUUUACAGGAUCCAAAAAUGAUCCCCAAAGGUACCCCAACUGACCCCGGGACCCGAAACAAUACCGAGGAGUCCCCGAAAUCACCCUCAAGAAAUUGUGGUAAUGGACAAAGGGAAACCAGAAUCUCUUGCGAUUCGUAAAGCAUGAUUAAGGGUUUCCAGCGACUCUAUUUCUUAAGGGGAGGAAAGGGGGGGGGGGAGGGGCUAAAGAACGUGACGUAAAAAAUUAAAUUCCAAUAAAAUACCUCUAUUUAUAA